rnacentral:rRNA from 1 species
AGAGUUUGAUCCUGGCUCAGGACGAACGCUGGCGGCAUGCCUAACACAUGCAAGUCGAACGGAGUUAUUAUUCAGAAGUUCUUCGGGAUGGAAGGAUAAGAACUUAGUGGCGGACGGGUGAGUAACGCGUGGGUAACCUGCCCUUUUGUGGGGAACAACUUCGAGAAAUCGGAGCUAAUACCGCAUAAUAAUAGAGGAUCGCAUGAUUCUUUAAGGAAAGAUGGCCUCUGAAGAUGCUAUCGCAAAAGGAUGGACCCGCGUCUGAUUAGCUAGUUGGAAGGGUAACGGCCUACCAAGGCAACGAUCAGUAGCCGGCCUGAGAGGGUGAACGGCCACAUUGGGACUGAGACACGGCCCAAACUCCUACGGGAGGCAGCAGUGGGGAAUCUUCCGCAAUGGGCGAAAGCCUGACGGAGCAAUGCCGCGUGAGUGAAGAAGGCCUUCGGGUUGUAAAACUCUGUCCUUAUCGAAGAGAGGUAGGUAUGUGAAUAAUGUACCUAUAGGACGGUAGAUAAGGAGGAAGCCCCGGCUAACUACGUGCCAGCAGCCGCGGUAAUACGUAGGGGGCGAGCGUUGUCCGGAAUCACUGGGCGUAAAGGGCGCGUAGGCGGUUUAAUAAGUCAGUGGUGAAAACUGAGGGCUCAACCCUCAGCCUGCCACUGAUACUGUUAGACUUGAGUAUGGAAGAGGAGAAUGGAAUUCCUAGUGUAGCGGUGAAAUGCGUAGAUAUUAGGAGGAACACCAGUGGCGAAGGCGAUUCUCUGGGCCAAGACUGACGCUGAGGCGCGAAAGCGUGGGGAGCAAACAGGAUUAGAUACCCUGGUAGUCCACGCCGUAAACGAUGGAUACUAGGUGUGGGGGGACUGACCCCCUCCGUGCCGCAGCUAACGCAAUAAGUAUCCCACCUGGGGAGUACGAUCGCAAGGUUGAAACUCAAAGGAAUUGACGGGGGCCCGC